GAAGUGCCUGAAACUUUUGAACAGUACUAUACUUAAAUAUAAAAAAUAUAUGCAUGCAUGUUAAAAAAACAUCAGUAACUACAAAUUCAGAAAAAAGUGAGCUCCUCCACAGACAUUAAUAGGAAACCGUAUUUCAUAAUGUCUUUAAACUGGAAGGUAACUCAAUCAGCAAGGCUCAGAACACAUCAGUAGAUGAAAAGUGAGACCCUGAAAUCUGUAAAUUCUGUAAACUGCAGUGAUAGGUUCUGAGAAGAGUCAGGCUACAACCGUCUGAAGAGAGCGACUACAAAUAAUUUAGAUAACAAAAACUAAUACUGUUCUCACCAUUCUGUUUUUCUGGUAAUAACUUUGGGGAGUUUUGAAAGAUUGUUUUCCAUCUUCUCGCUCCAGUCUGUUCAAAUUUGUCGUAUUUUCUCGAAAUGAAAAUUUCUGUGAAUUUGAAACUUUUAAUGCUGCAAUUUAAUCCUGCAACAACAAAACGGUUAAACUGUUAAACUGAAAUUACUUCAAUAAACGUGCAGAGACAAAGUUGUAUAAUUCUGAGGAAAUUUUGUUCAGCAGAAAUCUAUUAAUUUAAUAUAGAGGGCAAAUGUGUGGAUCAAUGAAAUGCUGCAGAAUACACACUUUCUGUGUAAAAUAGGAGCAUCUUAUGCAAAAUUUUAUUUUUUAAAAAAAAUCUGUGCACAAAUACUUUUCUGCUAAGUGCAUAAUGAAUGAUGGAAGAACAUACACAUUUUUAAGUAUCUUUUUUUCUUUCAAAAUAAGUUAACAUAAAUGAUGAAUGGAUUUAAAUUUAAAUGAGGGGAGUUUAAUCUGGUUUAUUUGAUUCAGUCCUCCCAGUUCUUGUGUGGCCCAGCAGUGGAAAUUCAUAUCGCCACCUGUUUUUCCAUCUUUUUCUUUUCAAGAGUUCAUGACAUAUUAUAUUUCCCAGCCUCCUUCCUCAUCCCCACAUGGAUCAGUUAAUGGGGUAAUACAGUCCAAUUUGCUUCCAGUCCAAGGUCAGAUGUUGGCAACUGCACUCUCACGCUGUGGCUCUGGACGUUUCUCACCAUAUCGAGCUGAAUGUAUUUGAAAAUGACUGAUGUGGUUUACAGAGAGUUAAGAUCACUAGUCUCUUUUGAGCUACAAUACCCCCAUGUGGCUGCUAGAGGAAAACACCCAAGCUCCGAUUUGAUCUAUCUGCUUUCUUGAUUAGUGUUUUUUAAAUAGGAGAAUUAUAAUCUAGUGCCCUGUUGUGGCAAAGUUCAUUCAGGGGUCAGCACUGUCUCCUUUAUCGAGUGGCAUAACCGCAAGCAUCCGCUGAUCUGGAGUCAGGUUAUCGUAGCUGAAUAUGGCAGCAAUGUCAAGUGCCUUCUGUCCGUGCAUCGUUUGUCUUGUCAGGAGCAGCAUCCCCUUCAUCUCCCCUCCAUCCUCUGCCUCCUCCUGCCCACACACACUCCCCAGGUCAUGUUCAGAGGCUUGGCAAGGCUUCACACACUCUUCUGCGGAGUUCAAGGUGAUGUUAGGGCUCUCGGGGGACACACGAGGAUGGAUCUUACACUGUGCUUAAUUUAGUUUUGUCUACGGCCCUUCGCAGCUGAUGUUUGAGGUCAGUAGUGGGAUACGGUGUUGUAGCCGAUGAAUAGAUUUUAAGGGACAGGUUGUGCUCUGUUGACAUGCAGACAACGCAUACUAAAGGGAUUUCAAAGUGCGAAUCCAGCCGUUUAGCACUACACUUUCAUAAAGUUGGAAGAUUUGUGAAAGACAAGAAUCCUGGCAAACAGGUCAGUGUUGGAUUCCAACCAUGCCAGCGACAGAAUAUUUCAUUUUUCUUCAAAUAACUCUGUACAGUUCAGCACAGAAACACUCAGAAAAAGCUUCUUUUCUUUGGCCCUUAAGAAGAAUAACCUCAAACCUGAGACCUUUCCAAACCGUUAUCUUCAACAAAUUCUUUAUAUCUGCUGCACUUUUUUUUCCAGUCUCUGUUUUUCGUUCCUGUAGUCUUUCAACACAACCUCAGGAGCAAAUUGUAUCUGUUGCAUUUCACUAAACAUGGAAUGUGUACGUGACAAGCUUCAACCCGUACUACUGUCAACUAAAAAUUCUAAAUGUGUUUGAUUCCUGGCUGGAUGAACCACUUGCAGCAUGUGAUUCCUCCACGUCUUCUCCAAAUUUCAAAAAACGCUAAAAAUCCCCCAAAUAAGUCUUUUUUUAAAAUUUUGUUUAAGCUGAAAUCUGAGAUAACUCUCCUGAUAUCGAGUGAAUUAUUUGCUCGGACUUUAGAUCCUCAGUCAGAAGCCCCAGAAGACCCAACUCAACUGUUUUUCUGCUGGGUUGCUAUGAUACAUUGGAGAUUAGAAGUAAACCUUUAUGUGUAAUACUUGUGAAAGUCCUUCUUAAAUUAGUCCAGUUGUGUGUUAUGUUAAGUAGUUUCAUAGGUGGCGUUGUAAGAAAGAAGUUUUAUUUCUUUUGUCCUGUUUUAGUCUUUGCUCUUCAUCUCCAGUUGUUAACUGUUGUCUAGCUGGUAUAGUUACACUUCUCACUCAUCUAGCUUAACAGCAAUGAUCAGUCUGCAUGAGUUUUGUUGCAUGAAAACCGACCACAGGGAGGCAGCAUCACACUGUGCUCCACUGACUCUCCCACCAAGAUUACUACCCUCAUCUCAGGCACUCAAGCUGAUUUAUGGAUUAAAUAAACAUCAUGAGGUGUUUUCUCAUAUCCCCAAAGUUAUAUUCAGAUUGAAGAAAACAGAUAAUUUUUUUCCCCAUUUCCAAGCCAAGUUUGUGCACACACCCACUCUAGUGUGUUUUUCUUAUCUGUUCACUGUACUUUUUACAUCCCUAAAUUACACUUAAGUGGCGUAUUAGGAGCUAUAUAAUUUCCCUAAUGCUGUGUGUAUUUGUAAAUGUGCAGUGUAACUCAGUGUACUGCUUCGUCCACUCUUUAAAUAUUAGUUUUCAUGAUGGUGAGCUCUCCAUACCGGAGUCCUCCGGUGACCCAGGACUGAUCACACCCUGAGGUUUGCAGCGUCUCACUGCGAGGCUGCUUGUGCUGUAUCAGCUGCCGUUGCUUUAUGGCCCUUAAUUCGCCCGGCCCUCCCUGAGCCCAUUUAACAUGCUGACUGCUCUGUUUUCCAUGCAACUGGAGUUGACCAAGAAAUGAGGUAAGAGCAUUGCUAAUAGGCUAAAUGACCAACAUUGUAAUAAGGCUUGCCGGAGCAGCUUGAUUUCCACACUUGGCUCGAUGGAUAAUUCAUGUGGAGACAAAGGGAAAAGAGCACUGGUCUCUGUGUAUGUCUGUGGUGGAGUAUGAGCCCUCUGCCACCCAUCAGGUCCUGACAGACACUUGAACACACACACACAGUCAGCAGUGACAUACAUAAUAUAUUGCCAUGGAGGCCACCACGUCCUUGGCAUCUUCAUGGCUGCUUCCUGUGCUACAGCACAUAAACACAUCAUUCACUUUCUCUGGGUCCAUUUUCGUCACCUCUAAUUGUGUGGCAGGUUCUGCAGCAUUUAGAGCUUCGAUCGUUGUGUCGUCAUCCUGGCACACAGAUCCUGGCUGAGAGAGGUUCCGCUGGACGCCGCUUGGUCCAACUCUGGCCCAUUAUUUUCAGCAUUUGACGGUGGGGCAUCAGGGGCACCCACAUGAUGGCUUGACCCAUAUCUUGGGCCCUCAGUAAGAAACAGGUUGAAACAGCAGAGGAAUUUUAAGAAAUGGCUAAUUAUAACACACUUUAAGUGCUUGUAAGUGUGCACACUGAGGCACCAAGUCACCACAGCAAGCUCACGGAGGCAUAAGCUUACUACACGGACACUCUGUGUGUGUCUGUUUGCGUGUGGGAGAGAGAGACUGUUAUUGUGUGUCCUCUUCCUGUCUGUCCUCACUGCCUGUCUCUCCCUCUCUAAUGGGGACAGUAUGAGAAGAGAGCCUGUGCUCCGUCUGGACCUUUCUAAUUGCCCCUGCCACAGAGGCCUGAUACAGCGAGACCCUGUGUUCCCAGCAGGUCAGGCAUGUGUGUGUGAGUGUGUGCGUGAUACACAGAAAGAGAGAGAGAGAGAGUGGUAGUGAGAGAGACUUGGGCAGACAGAAUCAUCACUCAGGUGGUGCUCCCUUGGGUCCACCACACAUAUUCGGGCCCCACAUAGAGAACACCAUUCAUUAUAAAUAUCAGAGCGGACCAGGAGUGGAUGGAGGAGACAUGAGAGGAGGAGGAGGAGAGUGCAGGACAGUAAAGAUGAGUACAGGUAGAUGUUGCACUAUAGCUCAAGAAGCAAACUUUUGGUUGCCAUCAUGAUGGGAUAUGCACACUUAUGUGGACGCACAGAUAUAUGCAGCUCCAUAUUAUCCCACCACAUAAUCUCACAGCCCGAGUCCUACUGCCAGGCCAGGUUAUGAAAUCCACCCAGGGCCAGGUUACAAAAAUCCUCUCUGUGGCAUCUGCCAGGGAAGGCAGCUCUGUGUUGACAGAUGGGCACAGCAUUCCUGGGCCCGGGCCUUGCCAGCGCACUGCCAGGAGCUGGACUGAAGAAGCCAUGGAGAGGCUGACUGGCAUUUCUUUACACCUAUGUGCUUAAUUUCUGUGGCAACCUCGAGGCACGUACGACAUGAGUUACAUUCCCUGAAUGCUGCUCCUUCAAACUGACACGUAGGGGCAGUGACGGGGUGUUACUGGGAAAUGAAUGGGUAGUAAUGGGUGUGGAUUCAGGCAUGUGGCUGUUUUUUAUUAAAAUGCCACGAACGUUGGAUGCUAGCUUCAAAGGGCCAUCUCCAUUAGGUCACUUUUCCUUGCUGUGUUCUGAUGAUUUUUCUGUGAUCAUUCUUGUUUGAUGCACUUGCAACACCAAUCAGCAUGUUUAGAAGAAGGAUUUUUGAGAGGUUUACCUCCACACUUGAGACAGGCUUAGUCCCAUGCUGGCCCAGUUAUGUGAUCUAUGUCCAAGCAAGGAAGAAAAGUUCGACCCCUUCCCCCCACGCCUCAUGCUGCUUCCACAGGGAUAGUGUUUUACAUGCUCAAGGUGAGUGGAAUACCAGCACAGCUCCGUUAGCCCAGUGCUUUACUCACUCAGGGUCCCUACCUCUCUGCCUUUUGGACCAUUGACCAACUGCUUCAGCACAGUCCCCAAACCAGGUCACACUAAUAAAACCUGUAUGUGGCCACUUAGCAGUCACUCAGACCUCACCUACAAACACAGGACACUUCAGGUGAUUACAGAAGCAGGUUAUAGUUUUUAGAUUUCACUUUUUUUUCUUUUUGUUUAAAGUCAAGCCAUGUCUUGUGCUCAUUGUGAAAAAAUGUACAGUAAAUUGUACUUUGCAAUUCAGCAGAACAUUUGGAACACAAAUAUAGCUUUGGCAUGGCUAAACUUAAUAGGCUGGCAUUCUGCAAAAGCAUGCCACAUUCUCCACAAUCACCACUCUUUAACAUCUAGCACUGCAUGGACACAAUGUUCCAAGACGCAGUGUGCUGAGGGUGCCCGGCCAACUCCUCCGACAGUGAGAGAUUAUGCUGAUUUCUCCUAAAGCAGCCUCAGUAUGGACUGAUGUAUGCACGGGGGUCAGAGAAUGAGUAGGAAGGGUGGAGGUGGGGCAGUGGUGAACAGGAACAUUGGCAAGUUUCACAGCCCGAGAACAAAACAGACCAACAAACGUGAGCGAGCCGUUGACCUCAAAAUCACUGUUAAAACAUGGUGUCCCCAUUUGGUAAUUAUCCUCCUCCAGAGAUGAGGUCAGGCUGAAAAUCAGCUGAAAACAAAGUGGGAUGAUAAUGGUAGCGGUGACGACGGAAGCGAGAGAAUGAGAAGGAGAGGAGAAGAGGACAUGACAGGGUGAAAAUGAGAGAGAGAACGGGAGAGGAGUGAUAGACGGAGAGAGAGAGAGAGGAGUGUGGUGGAACUCGCUGCUUGGUGUGAGUGAGCAUGGGAAAUGCGUGGGACUUAUGGUCCAUCACUGGCUCCAACAGGAUCUGUUUGGUGACUGAUGUACAUAUAUAUUUGGCUUCACAAACACACCUAUGGACAGCUGUCUUUCUGUUACUUUAAAGGAUGCUACAGUGACUUACACCAAUUUUCUGAAAGCUUACCCUCCACAUAUCCAUAGCCACUACUUGCCUAACCUCUACUCUAACCUUAAAUGAGGUCUUAGUACAUUUUUAGUAGUUUUCCUUACAGGGAUUUUGUCCUCAAAAGGGAUGGCAAGUCCUCGCAAUGUGACUGUAAACAGGUUUAUGAUCCCGCAAUAGGAGCAACUCAAGGACAUGUAUAUAUGGAGCUAUACACAUUCACGUCUGCCCAGUCCGCUCAACUAACCUCCCUUAAUUCUUGGCCGCCGGCGACGUUCAUCUCAGCUGCUCACCUCGUUUUAGCAAACUGAUUCUAUGAAGUUCUGCAAAAGUUUUCAGUCUGAGCAUAUUUCAUCUAAAAUCAUCAUUCAUACACAUUCUACAGUUUGUGCUUUUCACUAGUCUAAGGGGUGAAGCACAACCAGUGCUGCCUAAAUUGCACCACAAGAGGGCAAAAUCUGGUUAGAAACUAUAAUGGAGAGUCUCUGGAGCUCACGUGCAUGCACACACAGACACACAAAGACACACACACGCUCAGAAUAAUGUGUAUACAUGCAUACAUGCAUGCUCCCUUCUAUCUGACACACAUACAAGCCUCACUCACUAUGCUAGCAUUACAUCCUUACACUCAUGGUAGCAUAUAGCAUAUUCAGUCAUCAGCAUUAACUUUUUAAUAUUACAUCCUCCAUGGACUGUAUAGAUCUUUGUAGCAGCCUUGCUGAGCGCAGCAACCGUAACCGCCAUCACGUAAAAUAGCUCAGUCAGUUUAAUAACAUGAUUAGGGAGGAAAAUGUGAUUUAUCGAACCCCAAAAGUUCAAUUUGCAGCUCAGCAGGAAUCCAGCAUCCCCAUGCAGGUAGCUGUCAUUUUUCAGCUGUGAGGUCUCGAGGCUGACUGCUCCUAUGAGCUCACCUCAUGGCAGAUUAUGGGCCACUGUAGGUCUACGUUCGAGCCAAAUUCUGGCAGGAUUCAGCGCAAUGUGGUCUUCUCUCAUGUCUAGGUUAUUUUUAUGGCUGAGGCAGUGGUGGAGCCAUUGGGAGGUCUGAUUACCCUUUGAAAUAAGCCAAUACAAUCAAAGCUGCCUGCGGUGGAUGAUACAGGGCGCUGCGCUGUGAAUCCAACUUUGAUGAAGCAAGACUGCAAAGGGCGACUGUCAGCACCAGCGUGUUAUUAGACAGCAUUUACUGUGUGCAGCGCAUUCGGCUCCAUCGAUGCCAGCCACGCCGCCCCAUGCCUGCGCAGUUUUUUCUCAUGCUAUGUUUUUUAUGUUUUCUAUAUGUCUGUGCAGAGAUGGGAGCCAUAGGUGGUUUAGGUCAGCUGUUGUCAAACCCAUGCUGAGAGAAACAGAGCCGCUCAGGGCCAUGACGUGUGCUGUUGCUGCAUGCGUGUGCACUUUUAUACGGCUUUAAUUACAGACUGUGAACACAGACAGACUUGUUUAUUCUGCUGCAUAGUAUACACUGAGGCCUGGUUGGCACCACAAACACACGUGCCACACACACACACACACACACACACACACACACACACACACACACACACACACACACACACACACACACACACACACACACACACUGCUUUGUAGUAGUAAAAGUAUCUAUCCUGGACAGCACAGUAGGUUGUACCUGCCAGUUGGGUGAGUCAUUUCUAUUUUAUGUCCAUUAAUUGAGUCAUUUAUGGAUAUCUGCACACAGAGCAUCAUCACAAACGGGCACGGCCCUUCUACAGUAAAACAUUCUUCUUUUCAUCGUUUUUGCGAUAAAUCGCUCACAUCUUUUUCUGCUUUGCAGGCUUUAAGCGAUUCUACGUUUUCCAGAAUUAUGGUACGCUAUCACCGGCGUAGAGUUGUCUCCUAAUGCUCUCAGCUUAAACAAACAGGCUAUUUAAAGGGCAUCAGCCUAACUUUAUUUUGAGUGGACGAAGAAAGUAUAAAUAGACUUAGAGGAGCGCAACAAGCGAAUGCUUCAUAUGAAAUGGCUGGCGUUACAUCAUUGCCUGUGAGAGUGAAGUUCUGGAGAGGCACUGGGCUCUCUGGGCCAGCCAUUAUGCUAAGCGAAGCUGUCAACAGAGGCAGAGAAGCAGCUUUAAGUGGGAGACAGAAAAUGGAUGGAGGAAGAACAGGAGCGUGACAUGAAGAAGAGAAAGAAGGAAAGAACAAAUUAGAAGUAUGACUGCACACGCUGGAAUGGCCAAGACAGCAUAAUCAUCAGACUGGAGGUUAGAAUCCGCAACCAUGAAGAUGAGUGGCGCCCACCAUCGCAGCGUCAUGAAAGCUAAGCUGCACCUCGCUGAGGCUCUGUGGACCUUAAAAAUGUCUAUGUGGUCUCCCUUGAUGGACAGUUCAGAGCCAAAAAAGUGGUCUACACUGGAGGAGGACAUCAACAUUGCAUUAAGUACUUAUGGAUCGAGUUUAUUUCAACUUGUUGCACAAGAGCGGCAGAGCUUCAAAAUGUUUACAGCAGCGUCCUCAACCUUGGGAUCGAGAUGCUAUUUGUGGUUGCUUAAUAUGCAAACAGGGUCAUGGGAGAUUUGUCAAACUGCUGCAUAAAUGUCAGAGUUUUAAAUACAUCCAAAUGCCCAAGUGAUUUAUUUGGAGCUUUGUCUUUGCUCUUGAAAACAGAAUUGCAACAUACAGAAUUUGGGGAUCUGAAAUCUGGGUCAAAAAGUUUCAGAAACCUCAGUCCAGACAUAAGAAAGAAGUUAGCCUUGUUGCUUUGAAAACCACCCAACCCCACAGAGAACAGAUUUAUUAAAUGACUCAGUAAAAGGUGCUCACAGGCAAUGGAAAAGUCAGGGUUUAAGGGAUAGAUAAGGGAUUGUGAGCUGGAUAAAAGUGUGUUCUGUGUGUGCACAAACAACUGAAGGCAGCCUGUUCCCUCUCUCUGACUGUGAUCUUUCAGCACAAGGUAAUAAUAAUGAAGGAUGAACUGGCCUUCCAGGGUUCACUGAGUUGGUCUACAAGUAAGCCCCUGACCCCCCUCUGUGCACUCAGCUCUGAUGCUUGCCCAUGCCAGCAAUGUUCACACAUACAGAUACAAACACAAACACUCAGGCAAGGCCUGCAAACUGGUAGCAGGUUGUCCAACAUUCCUGACCUGGAUGACAUUAGCUAAAUUUGGAGAUUCGUCCUCACCAGAAAAAGACUUGAGCACUGGUUAUUUAUUCAAAUGCCUUAAAUGACCUAUGUUUAUGAUUUUCUGAGUAGGACCUCGUACGACCUUGUGAAUUAUGACUGUUGUCUGUCAAAAGCAAAGGUGGAAGCGGCAUAAUGUUGCUAAUGCACCACAAAUCCACUUAGGGUAGAGGUCUGGGUGGAUGUUAGAGUGACACCAGUGGCCGUAGUUCACCUCUUGUUUACUACCAACUGUAAACAUUGUUUUAUUGAAACAUGACCGUGAUCCUCCACUUAACCUAUAUAAUUUUUUUUAGUAUCAUUCCACAAUCUUUUUCUCACUUUUACUAAGACACCACUCCAUACUAGCUGAGGGACUCUAGAGAAGGUAAUAUAAGUCUCUUGGCAAUUUAGUUCUCAACUUUAGUCCAGAAGGAAGACAUUUUGUACAGAUAAUCAAGGUCCCCAAUGGAUUAGUGACCUCCUGACUUUUCUCCGAGCCUUAAUGUGAGGUUGACACUUAUGUUUUCGGGUGAAAGCUCAACUCAACUAUUUCAGCAAGUGUGAGCCUUAAUUACUUUGGUGAUCCACUGCAUAUUUUGUGUUUAGGCAAGCAAUAACUAACAAAUCUUAGGAUACUAAGCUAAAAAUAAUCAUUUGCUAUAUAUAAAGAUGGAUGACCUCUCCAUGAUAGCACCUUUUGGUGUCGCUCUGGCUGUCGUGAUCUUGCUAUUGACUGAUUUCAUCUAACUUCUGGCUAAGUCAAAAAUCAAUAAAAGAGGGAAGCAGCACCAGUCAAUCAAAGAUGCAUGCUUUACUUGAGACCUUAAUGCAAUUUCAUUCCCUCCACAGUUUUCCUAAACAUGUAAAUUAGCUAUAGAGACUAAAACAGUUUUUAUCUCAGGCUGUAUGCAUGUCUAUUUCUGCAGUAAAGUUGACUCUUUUAACAUGGACGUCUAUAGUGAUUGACACACUUUUGGAGUCAGCCUCUAGUGGACAUUUGAGGAACUGCACCAUUUGGUCUUUCUAAAUUGACUUAAUUUUUUUUUAGCUGUGGACGUUCCCACUUGGAACUAUUGAAAGUAGUAAACAUUUCACCUGCUAAACACCAACAUAUUCAAUUUUCCAUUUUUCAUUUUGACAUUAGCAUUUAGCUUACAGCUUCACUGUGCAGUUCAGACUCUGAGAGCUGAUCGGCUCACUUUAGACUUCUAGCCUUGGAUUUACACUAUCUGUGAUCUUUGUAAACAUUAAAUAUAAUUAACAAAGUAGUUUCCUAAACCAAACCUUAACCAUAUAUGUGACAUAUGUAGAUCAGAAAACCAUCAAAUGACUAAUUCUUGUGAUGGUCAAAUGCAUUUUGAAUAGCAUUGAAAAAGUUGCCAUCCCACUGAUAAGGGCACAGGAUCAGCACCUAUAUUAGUCAUUUUAGAGGUAUGUUGUGUAACAAGUAAUAAAGUCAGCCAACACCUCUGAUACAGACUAAUUUAGCGUUGGCUGAGAGAGAUUCAUAGCUUCUCGUUUCAUCCAAAAGCCCCCUCAGAACUUUUAUAUGCAGUUCAUGGUAUUUAUCCAACUGCUCCUGUGUGAUUUUGGUCCAGCACCUCUAGAUUUUUCCUUACUGUUGUUUCUCCCACUUAUAGUUCUUACUUUAUCCUAUCUGUUUCUCUCUCCCUCCUUUAGUUUCUCUUGGGUGAAGUGCAGUAGAGAGGGGAGAGAGAGUGAGUAAGCCUUCCAACCCCAUAAGACUGGACUCUAUCAGCCAUGCAGAGUCAGUGAUGGAACCACAAGCCUUGAAUCCGACUGCUGCUUCUACGUUAUGCCAGUGACUCCGGACGACCACAUGAAACCAAGCUGAGAAGUUGGUGAAAUGGAAAUUAAAUAUUGUUAUUCUGAGGUUUUGGCACCAAACGGCAGCAGUGAGUUAGCGCUUCUAGCCAUUUUUAGCAGCUGGUUCACAAUUUAAAUAGGGCUUUGGUUAAAAGCCUGAAAUUAUGCUGGCGGUUAACACAAGUUUAACUCAAUUUCUUGCUUCAUUCUGAGGUGAAAUAUUCCAUUUGUGAUUGCAGUGGCCGGAAACUAUGCUUGUUUUAACCAUAAUGAUAAUAGUAAUAAUUUCUUUGCUUAUUGUUGCUUUACACGCUGAUGUAUGAACUUUGUAAUCUUAACUUCAUUCUGUUUUGAGAGUAUUUGCAACAAUGUUUAUUCAUAUUAAUUACAGUAAUAAAUGUUACUUUA